rnacentral:rRNA from 1 species
GAUGAACGCUGGCGGCGUGCCUAAUACAUGCAAGUCGAGCGAACGGACGAGAAGCUUGCUUUUCUGAUGUUAGCGGCGGACGGGUGAGUAACACGUGGAUAACCUACCUAUAAGACUGGGAUAACUUCGGGAAACCGGAGCUAAUACCGGAUAAUAUUUUGAACCGCAUGGUUCAAAAGUGAAAGACGGUCUUGCUGUCACUUAUAGAUGGAUCCGCGCUGCAUUAGCUAGUCGGUAAGGUAACGGCUUACCAAGGCAACGAUGCAUAGCCGACCUGAGAGGGUGAUCGGCCACCCUGGAACUGAGACACGGACCAGACUCCUACGGGAGGGAGCAGUAGGGAAUCUUCCGCAAUGGGCGAAAGCCUGACGGAGCAACGCCGCGUGAGUGAUGAAGGUCUUCGGAUCGUAAAACUCUGUUAUUAGGGAAGAACAUAUGUGUAAGUAACUGUGCACAUCUUGACGGUACCUAAUCAGAAAGCCACGGCUAACUACGUG